GGUGUCAGUGCAGUAAUUGUAAAUCAUGUAAUUUUUCUGAACCCAUUUCAGCCUUUCUUGGCUCGUUAUAUCCAGUUCUUGCGAUAGCCAUGCAUUUUGAGAGGGUGAGGUGGAGGAACAUGAUGAUUUACCGGAAGACCAGACACAUGCAUCAGCUUUGAAAGUCCUGUAAGAAGCAGUGAAAGGAGCUUGGCUCCAGUCCGUCUUAACAAGACCACCUCGAGUGGCCCAAUCAUCGGCGUUCCAAAGACUCGAAUACACUCUCAUCGGCUGGCUCUUUGGGAACGCAACGCCCUUUGAUUCCAAGUUCUUGAACUCUCUAAUUGGUGUCCCAUCAACAGAGAAGCUGUAAACAUUCAAAAGAAUCACAAUUAAACAUACUGAAAAUAAUCGAAACUGAAACGUUUUUAGAAAAAUGGGAUUGUAAAAUAAGACAUACAUAAUACGUUGAGGGUUCCAAAGAAGGGAGUAGGUAUGAAAGUCUUUGGUGGGAUCGAACCAAAGGUAGAACUGUUGCUCUUUGUCACCUUUGCCUUGUGUAUAUACAUUGGUGUGGACUAUGUAUGGGUCUCCGCUUAGGUUCCCCAAGAAUUCGAAGUCGAUUUCAUCCCAUGUCGACCCUUCCGAACGAAG